CCCUACGGGGGGCAGCAGUGGGGAAUAUUGCACAAUGGGGGAAACCCUGGUGCAGCAACGCCGCGUGAGUGAAGAAGUAUUUCGGUAUGUAAAGCUCUAUCAGCAGGGAAGAAAAUGACGGUACCUGAGUAAGAAGCCCCGGCUAACUACGUGCCAGCAGCCGCGGUAAUACGUAGGGGGCAAGCGUUAUCCGGAUUUACUGGGUGUAAAGGGAGCGUAGACGGCGAUACAAGUCUGAAGUGAAAUCCCGGUGCUCAACCCC
rnacentral:rRNA from 1 species